GACGAACGCUGGCGGCGUGCUUAACACAUGCAAGUCGAACGGGCCCGCUCUCUUUUUUGGGGGUGGGUUGAGUGGCGAACGGGUGAGUAUCACGUGAGUAACCUGCCCCCUGCUCCUGGAUAACUGCUUGAAAGGGCGGCUAAUACGGGGUGUGCCGGCUGGUCCGCAUGGGCCUGGUCGGGAUAGUUUCAUCUUCGGGUGUUUCGGUGGGGGAUGGGCUCGCGGCCUAUCAGCUUGUUGGUGGGGUGAUUGCCCACCAAGGCGGUGACGGGUAGCCGGCCUGAGAGGGUGGGCGGCCACGCGGGGGCUGGGACACGGCCCAGAUGCCUGCGGGAGGAAGCAGUGGGGGGUAUUGCAAAAGGGGCGGAAGCCUGAUGCAGCGACGUCGCGUGAGGGAUGGAGGCCUUCGGGUUGGGAGCCUCUUUCUCCGGUGGUGAAGGCCCUGUCCGUUGCGGCGGGGUUGACGGUAGCCGGGUAUGAAGCGCCGGCUAACUACGUG
rnacentral:rRNA from 1 species